rnacentral:rRNA from 1 species
UUGAUCAUGGCUCAGAACGAACGCUGGCGGCGUGCUUAAGACAUGCAAGUCGAACGGUAAGGCACCUUCGGGUGUACACGAGUGGCGCACGGGUGAGUAACGCGUGGGUAAUCUGCCCUCACGUCUGGGACAACUCCGGGAAACUGGAGCUAAUACCGGAUGAGCCCACAGGGUCUUCGGGCCUGGUGGGAAAAGAUGGCCUCUUCUUGAAAGCUAUCGCGAGAGGGUGAGCCCGCGUCCCAUUAGUUUGUUGGUGGGGUAACGGCCUACCAAGGCGACGAUGGGUAGCUGGUCUGAGAGGAUGAUCAGCCACACUGGAACUGAGACACGGUCCAGACUCCUACGGGAGGCAGCAGUCGGGAAUUUUGGGCAAUGGGCGAAAGCCUGACCCAGCAACGCCGCGUGAGGGAUGAAGGCCCUCGGGUCGUAAACCUCUGUCGGGAGGGAAGAAUGUUUUUCGGGCGAAUAGUCCGCGAAGCUGACGGUACCUCCAAAGGAAGCGCCGGCUAACUCCGUGCCAGCAGCCGCGGUAAUACGUAGGGGGCAAGCGUUGUCCGGAAUUAUUGGGCGUAAAGCGCGCGCAGGCGGCCCGCCAAGUCAGAUGUGAAAUCCCUCGGCUCAACCGAGGACCUGCAUUUGAAACUAGCGGGCUAGAGUACAGGAGAGGGAAAUGGAAUUCCUAGUGUAGCGGUGAAAUGCGCAGAUAUUAGGAAGAACACCGGUGCGAAGGCGGUUUCCUGGACUGUUACUGACGCUGAGGUGCGAAAGCUAGGGGAGCAAACAGGAUUAGAUACCCUGGUAGUCCUAGCCGUAAACGAUGGUCACUAGGUGUAGGGGGUUAUCAACUCCCCCUGUGCCGUAGCUAACGCAUUAAGUGACCCGCCUGGGGAGUACGGCCGCAAGGCUAAAACUCAAAGGAAUUGACGGG